CCUACGGGGGGCAGCAGUGAGGAAUAUUGGUCAAUGGGCGGAAGCCUGAACCAGCCAAGUCGCGUGAGGGAAUAAGGCCCUACGGGUCGUAAACCUCUUUUGCCGGGGAGCAAGGGCGGGGACGUGUCCCGGCCCGGAGAGUACCUGAAGACAAAGCAUCGGCUAACUCCGUGCCAGCAGCCGCGGUAAUACGGAGGAUGCGAGCGUUAUCCGGAUUUACUGGGUGUAAAGGGAGCGUAGACGGCUGUGCAAGUCGGAAGUGAAAGCCCAGGGCUUAACCCUGGGACUGCUUUGGAAACUGGGGAGCUAGAGUGCUGGAGAGGUAAGUGGAAUUCCUAGUGUAGCGGUGAAAUGCGUAGAUAUUAGGAGGAACACCAGUGGCGAAGGCGGCUUACUGGACAGUAACUGACGUUGAGGCUCGAAAGCGUGGGGAGCAAACAGGAUUAGAUACCCGAGUAGUC
rnacentral:rRNA from 1 species